GAUGAACGCUGGCGGCAUGCCUAAUACAUGCAAGUCGAGCGAACAGAUGAGGAGCUUGCUCCCCUGACGUUAGCGGCGGACGGGUGAGUAACACGUGCAUAACCUACCUAUAAGACUGGGAUAACUUCGGGAAACCGGAUCUAAUACCGGAGAAUAUAUUCAACCGCAGGGUUCAAUAGUGAAACACGGUUUUGCUGUCACUUAUAGAUGGAUCCGCGCCGCAUUAGCUAGUUGGUAAGGUAACGGCUUACCAAGGCAACGAUGCGUAGCCGACCUGAGAGGGUGAUCGGCCACACUGGAACUGAGACACGGUCCAGACUCCUACGGGAGGCAGCAGUAGGGAAUAUUCCGCAAUGGGCGAAAGCCUGACGGAGCAACGCCGCGUGAGUGAUGAAGGUCUUCGGAUCGUAAAACUCUGUUAUUAGGGAAGAACAAAUGUGUAAGUAACUCUGCACGUCUUGACGGUACCUAAUCAGAAAGCCCCGGCUAACUACGUG
rnacentral:rRNA from 1 species